rnacentral:rRNA from 1 species
GACGAACGCUGGCGGCGUGCUUAACACAUGCAAGUCGAACGGUGAAGCGCCUUCCUUUUUGGUGGGUGUGGAUGAGUGGCGAACGGGUGAGUAACACGUGAGUAACCUGCCCCCUUCUUCUGGAUAACCGCAUGAAAGUGUGGCUAAUACGGGAUAUUCUGGGUCUGUCGCAUGAUGGGUCUGGGAAAGAUAUUGUUUCGGUGGGGGAUGGGCUCGCGGCCUAUCAGCUUGUUGGUGGGGUGAUGGCCUACCAAGGCGGUGACGGGUAGCCGGCCUGAGAGAGGGGACACGCACACUGGGACUGAGACACGGCCCAGACUCCUACGGGAGGCAGCAGUGGGGAAUAUUGCACAAUGGGCGCAAGCCUGAUGCAGCGACGCCGCGUGAGGGAUGGAGGCCUUCGGGUUGUGAACCUCUUUCGCCAGUGAAGCAGGCCUGCCUCGUUUGUGGGUGGGUUGACGGUAGCUGGAUAAGAAGCGCCGGCUAACUACGUG